rnacentral:rRNA from 1 species
GCAGCCGCGGUAAUUCCAGCUCCAAUAGCGUAUACUAAAGUUGUUGCGGUUAAAAAGCUCGUAGUUGGAUCUUGGAAUGUGUUCAAGCGGGUCAGCUUCUGGCUGUGCGCUGCUUGACGUGUUCUUCUAUUUGGUUUUGGUGCGGUGCGCUUAACUGCGUGUCGCUCCCGGCCGAAACGUUUACCUUGAAAAAAUUAGAGUGUUCAAAGCAGACCUGUUUGAGUCUGAAUAUUCGUGCAUGGAAUAAUGAAAUAUGAAUUCGGUUCUAUUUUGUUGGUUUUCGGAACUCGAGUUAAUGAUCAAGAGGGACAGACGGGGGCAUUCGUACUCUGCCGUUAGAGGUGAAAUUCUUGGAUCGGCGGAAGACGCGCAACUGCGAAAGCAUUUGCCAAGAAUGUUUUCUUUAAUCAAGAACGAUAGUCGGAGGUUCGAAGACGAUCAGAUACCGUCCUAGUUUCGACUGUAAACUAUGCCAGCUAACGAUCAGACAGAGUUCUCUACGACUUGUCUGGCAGUUUCCGGGAAACCAAAGCGUUUGGGUUCCGGGGGAAGUAUGGUUGCAAAGCUGAAACUUAAAGGAAUUGACGGAAGGGCACCACCAGGAGUGGAGCCUGCGGCUUAAUUUGACUCAACACGGGGAAACUCACCCGGCCCGGACACAGUGAGGAUUGACAGAUUGAGAGUUCUUUCUUGAUUCUGUGGGUGGUGGUGCAUGGCCGUUCUUAGUUGGUGGAGCGAUUUGUCUGGUUAAUUCCGAUAACGAACGAGACUCUGGCAUGUUAAAUAGUCGCGGAAGUGCGUAUGCACUUGCCGAAUUGACUUCUUAGAGGGACUAGUGAUUUUAAUUCACACGAGAUUGAGCAAUAACAGGUCUGUGAUGCCCAAGGACGAUCGUUAAGCUGCAGGA